UGGGGAAUAUUGCACAAUGGGCGCAAGCCUGAUGCAGCCAUGCCGCGUGUAUGAAGAAGGCCUUCGGGUUGUAAAGUACUUUCAGCGGGGAGGAAGGUGUUGUGGUUAAUAACCACAGCAAUUGACGUUACCCGCAGAAGAAGCACCGGCUAACUCCGUGCCAGCAGCCGCGGUAAUACGGAGGGUGCAAGCGUUAAUCGGAAUUACUGGGCGUAAAGCGCACGCAGGCGGUCUGUCAAGUCGGAUGUGAAAUCCCCGGGCUCAACCUGGGAACUGCAUCCGAAACUGGCAGGCCUGAGUCUUGUAGAGGGGGGUAGAAUUCCAGGUGUAGCGGUGAAAUGCGUAGAGAUCUGGAGGAAUACCGGUGGCGAAGGCGGCCCCCUGGACAAAGACUGACGCUCAGGUGCGAAAGCGUGGGGAGCAAACA
rnacentral:rRNA from 1 species